GCACUCCUCUUCUACCACAUUCACAAGAUUUCACAAAUAUUCUUUGCGCUCUCCCAAAUUUUCCUAACAAGGUCAGAAGUUGUUUCGCCUGUGAGAUUCUUUCCUCGUCAAAUUGAGUUACUUCCGGUGCGGCGCAACUAGGACCCCCGUGUGAGAAUUGAUUGAAUUUCUUUUGUUGUGCUUGAUAUUGAGGUCAGUGAUUUUGGAGCGGCGUGGCGGAAUGGGUGUGGUGAAGUUAUUUUCGUACUUUUGGUUCCGCUGCAAACGUUGGACUCUAAAUUUGUUAAAUUUCUUUGAGUUGUUUUGAGGUUAAGCUUGCUUUUGUUUCAUGAAGGUCUUUGGUAAUUGGUUUAACUUUAUUGGUGAAUGAUGAACUUGAUGUGGAAGUAUUUGGUGUUUAGAUCAGUUAAAACAAAGUCGUAUUUUUGGUCAAUUAUCUUUCCGUUAA